CUAUCUCUCUCACGCCUCUCUCCUCAUUUACACUCUCUCACGCCUCUCUCCUCUCUCAGUUUCUCUCACACGCCUCUCUCCUCUUUAAGAUUUUCUCUCUCACGCCUCUCUCCGACUUUCUCUCUCCUCUUUCAGACUAUCUACUUUCUUUCUCCUCUUUCAGACUUUCUCUCUCCUACUUCGACCAUCUGCUUCUUCCACCCUCUCAUUCUCUCAUCUCUUUCAUCGGUCCCAAAGUUUCAAGAUCAAGAUCUGUUUCAAGAUAUUGGUAUUCAAGAUCUGCUUCUUCAAUUCGACCCUCUCCCUGGAUUUCCAAUUAGAAGGGGGAGUUGAUUUGAGGUCCACAGAUAGAGACAAUUGCAUUUACCACUUGAUUGGGGUGGUGGAGCAUUCUGGGACAAUGAAACAAGGCCAUUAUGUGGCUUAUGUUAGAGGAGGUGACAGAAGAAGAAGAGGAUCGGAAGAAGAAGAUAGACAAGCACAUUCAGUAUGGUAUCAUGCCAGUGACGCGAGUGUUCGUGAAACAACCUUAGAGGAGGUUCUGCACUCUGAAGCAUACAUUCUGUUUUAUGAGAAAGUUAAGCUCUGAUCAAGAUCUGUUUCAAGAUAUUGGUAUUAAGCUACAUUCAUGUGCUGCUAUUGCUUGUUGGAUGCUGUUGCGUUUGUUGGAUGUUGCUGCUGUUGUUGGCUUGCUGCUUGUGGUUGCUGUUGUUGCAGGCUCGCUGCUUAUAAAUUCAACAAUUUGAUUUUGGUUCGGGUUUGAAUGCAGGUUUGUCUGGUCAGGAUUAAUCUUGUCGGUUGCCGAUCAGGUCUGAGUAAUUCCAGGUUAGGUUUCGGUCAAGUCUGGGGGACUAACAAAAGGCAAGGCUAAACAAAAUGCACAAAAAAAAGACUCCAAUAUUCACGAUGUUCACAAAUUAGGUCUAAUGAUAUUAGAGUUGUAAUAUCAUGUAUCUAUGUUGAACCCUAGUUUUGAUGAUGACAAAGGAACAAAGAUGCAAACUAAGUAGUGAACUAAUGAGUUAUUUAAGUGUAUGAUUUUAAGGUAUCAUUGAAAGGAACAAAGAGAAUACUAAGUCAAGGAAGAAAUCAAGUGAAGAUUUUGAAGGCUAAGUGAAGAUGUUUCUUUGAUUGUUACUGGAGAAGCAUUGGAACAAGAAGAAUAAAGCAAGGCGUUUUUAUUUUCUAGUUUCAUUGUAAGGGAACAAGUAAUGUUGGUAAGGAACAUUGGCAGUUUUAUUUGAGAAUGAUAGUUUGUUCCUUUGUAAGGAACAGACGAAUUAGCACUAAACAAAUCAGUUAAAAGGAACUUAUGAAUAAAAGUAACUAGACUUAGGCUCGAAACAUUAUAACAGUUCACUAAUGGAAGUUGAGUUAUAACACCCCUGAAUUUCGAGUGAUUCAUUAAAUUAAAUAAUUUUAAAAUUCUAUAGAAAAUUCGGCAGAGUUCCGUUUGAAAAAUGGACUGCCUAAAAUUUAAUUUAGGAUUGGCGUCCGAAUUUUAAACCUGUUUCAACAAUCAGCAAUCCAAAAUCCAAAUUCCCAACAACUUCACCCAUUUCAAAUACCAACGAAAUUCCUGUAUAACUACUCGAAAUCCAAACGUGUUAUUCCACGAUUAUUACAAGAAUAAUCGCUAAGGAUCGGAAGAACUACCUGCACCAAAACUAAUUUAAAGUUUAUUUUAAACUAUUACUACCCAACCGAAUAAAGAUUUAGGUGGAUUAAUAUUUACAACCCAAAGUCUCAAAAUAUUGAUUAUAUAUAAGAAAUGCACCAGAACAGAACUAUUAUAAUUAUAUUUACGCAAAACUAGUGGACGUUGCUCUCCGCCCAUACCCCGACUCUAAGCCUUCAUGUACCUGCAUAUAUCAAGCAUGUAAUAUCAGCCAAACAGGCUGAGCAAGAUUCAAUACUGUAAA